rnacentral:rRNA from 1 species
AGAGUUUGAUCAUGGCUCAGGAUGAACGCUAGCGGCAGGCCUAACACAUGCAAGUCGAGGGGUAACAGUGAGUGCUUGCAUUCAGCUGACGACCGGCGCACGGGUGCGUAACGCGUAUACAAUCUACCUUGUACUGAGGGAUAGCCCAGAGAAAUUUGGAUUAAUACCUCAUAGUAUGUAAUAGUGGCAUCAUUUUUACAUUAAAGGUUACGGUACAAGAUGAGUAUGCGUCCUAUUAGUUAGUUGGUGUGGUAACGGCACACCAAGACUACGAUAGGUAGGGGCCCUGAGAGGGGGAUCCCCCACACUGGUACUGAGACACGGACCAGACUCCUACGGGAGGCAGCAGUGAGGAAUAUUGGACAAUGGAGGCAACUCUGAUCCAGCCAUGCCGCGUGCAGGAAGACUGCCCUAUGGGUUGUAAACUGCUUUUAUACAGGAAGAAACACUCCCACGUGUGGGAAUUUGACGGUACUGUAAGAAUAAGGAUCGGCUAACUCCGUGCCAGCAGCCGCGGUAAUACGGAGGAUCCAAGCGUUAUCCGGAAUCAUUGGGUUUAAAGGGUCCGUAGGCGGGCAAUUAAGUCAGAGGUGAAAGUUUGCGGCUCAACCGUAAAAUUGCCUUUGAAACUGGUUGUCUUGAAUUAUUAUGAAGUGGUUAGAAUAUGUAGUGUAGCGGUGAAAUGCAUAGAUAUUACAUAGAAUACCAAUUGCGAAGGCAGAUCACUAAUAAUAUAUUGACGCUGAUGGACGAAAGCGUGGGGAGCGAACAGGAUUAGAUACCCUGGUAGUCCACGCCGUAAACGAUGGUUACUAGCUGUUCGGUACUUGUACUGAGUGGCUAAGCGAAAGUGAUAAGUAACCACCCUGGGGAGUGCGUUCGCAAGAUGAAACUCAAGGAAUUGACGGG